CCUACGAGAGGCAGCAGUGAGGAAUAUUGGUCAAUGGGCGCGAGCCUGAACCAGCCAAGUCGCGUGAGGGAGGACGGCCCUACGGGUUGUAAACCUCUUUUGCCGGGGAGCAACGGGCGCCACGUGUGGCGCCACUGAGAGUACCCGGAGAAAAAGCAUCGGCUAAGUCCGUGCCAGCAGCCGCGGUAAUACGGAGGAUGCGAGCGUUAUCGGGAUUUAUUGGGUUUAAAGGGUGCGUAGGCGGAUCGUUAAGUCAGUGGUCACAUUGAGGGUCUCAACCCCUUCCCGCCAUUGAAACUGGCGUUCUUUGUUGGAAGAGAAGUAUGCGGAAUGCGUGGUGUAGCGGUGAAAUGCAUAGAUAUCACGCAGAACCCCGAUUGCGAAGGCAGCAUGCCGGCUUCCGACUGACGCUGAAGCACGAAAGCGUGGGGAUCGAACAGGAUUAGAUACCCCAGUAGUC
rnacentral:rRNA from 1 species